GGAUCUCUGGAGAGUCUCUGAAAAAUGAGCGCCGAAGGUGUAAGGACGGCCGCGCCGUCUGAUCUCUCAGGCAAAAGGACAGGGCA
rnacentral:ncRNA from 1 species